GGGCAAAAUAGUAACUUUUCAUUUACUAUAUUAAAAUAAAUUAAAAAUUAAAUUACAAAAAGCAAAAAAGAAAAAGAAAAACAUAAAAGCUGUAAAUUUUCAUCUUCCCCACCGGCCACCUGCCACCUUCCCCCGCCACCACCACUGGUGGAUCUCUCUCCUCUCUCUUUUCCUUCCCUUUUCCCACCAUUUUGAUCUCCAACAAGGUACUACAUACGGGGUGGAGCAAGUAUGUUAACAUAUGAGACGGGAUCCAUAGCCGAUGCCCUCCAGAUCUGAUUAUUCUAAGAGGAUUCAGUCAUAAAAGGAUUCAGAUCUAAUUAUUAUAAGAGGUUAACAUUUUGUGAGAUUUCACAAUUAUAAGACGAAAAUUAGGCACCCAAUGAUGCACAGACAAUACCAACCUUUGGGUCCUCUUCAGAUUACAACGAUUUGGUUUUACAAAGGCUGUGCGAAUCAAGAUUUCCAGGAUUUCAAUGGGAUUUACAAGGAAACGCUUAAAAUUCUCUUUGACACGUUAAUCUCCCAAUCUUCCACCGCAAAAUUUUACAAAGCCACAUUCGGAGACGGCCAAUCCGCCAUUAAUGGGCUCUUUCAAUGCAGAGGCAAUCUCUCAAAUUCUGACUGUGUCAACUGCAUGAAAAAAGCCUCUUAAAUGUCCGAAAGCUUUGCGGUCAUUCCAUUGCUGUUAGUGUACAACUAAACGGAUGUUAUUUGAGAUAUGAAAUUGCUGGGUUUAGGCAACUGAGUGGGACUGAGUUGCUGUACAAGGUUUGUGGUUCAACUCAGGCAUUCUAUUAUUUUAUGAGAAAAAUUUUAAAG
rnacentral:lncRNA from 1 species